rnacentral:rRNA from 1 species
GACGGAGGAUGCAAGCGUUAUCCGGAAUGAUUGGGCGUAAAGCGUCCGCAGGUGGCAGUUCAAGUCUGCUGUCAAAGACCGGGGCUUAACUUCGGAAAGGCAGUGGAAACUGAACAGCUAGAGUAUGGUAGGGGCAGAGGGAAUUCCUGGUGUAGCGGUGAAAUGCGUAGAGAUCAGGAAGAACAUCGGUGGCGAAGGCGGUCUGCUGGGCCGUUGCUGACGCUGAGGCGCGACAGCGUGGGGAGCAAACAGG